GUGCUUGCUUCGGCACACAUAUACUAAAAUUGGAAUGAUACAGAGAAGAGUAGCACGGCCCCCCUGCAAGAAUGACAUGCAAGUUCAUGCAGCAUUCCAUAUUAAA
rnacentral:snRNA from 1 species